rnacentral:lncRNA from 1 species
CACUAUUAAAGUCACCGGCACUUAAGCAUUUUCAACAAAUAAAGUCACCAACAACAUCACCUCGUAAACACUAGUUCACUAUUAAAGUCACCAAAACUUAAGCUUUUUCAACUAACAAAGGCACCAACGAAACUAAUUCACUAUUAAAGUUACCAAAACUUAAGCUUUUUUAACAAGUAAAGUCACCAACAACAUCACCUUCUAAACACUAAUUCACUAUUAAAGUCACCGGCACUUAAGCAUUUUCAACAAAUAAAGUAACCAACAAUAUCACCUUCUAAACAAAAGUUCACUUUUAAAGUCACCAGCUCUUAUGCAUUUUCAACAAAUAAAGUAACCAACCACAUCACCUUCUAAAAAAAAGUUCACUAUUAAAGUCACCGGCACUUAAGCAUUUUCAACAAAUAAAGUCACCAACAACAUCACCUUAUAAACACUAGUUCACUAUUAAAGUCACCAAAACUUAAGCUUUUUCAACAAAAACUAACAAAGGCACCAACGAAACUAAUUCACUAUUAAAGUCACCAAAACUUAAGCAUUUUCAACAAGUAAAGUCACCAACAACAUCACCUUCAAAACACUAAUUCACUAUUAAAGUCACCAGAACUUAAGCAUUUUCAACAAUAAAGUAACCAACAACAUCACCUUCUAAACAGAAGUUCACUUUUAAAGUCACCGGCACUUAAGCAUUUUCAACAAAUAAAGUAACCAACCGCAUCACCUUCUAAAUAAAAGUUCACUAUUAAUGUCACCGGCACUUAAGCAUUUUCAAUAAAUAAAGUCACCAACAACAUCACCUCGUAAACACUAGUUCACUAUAAAAGUCACUAAAACUUAAUCUUUUUCAACUAACAAAGGCACCAACGAAACUAAUUCAUUAUUAAAGUCACCAAAACUUAAGCAUUUUUAACAAGUAAAGUCAGCAACAACAUCACCUUCUAAACACUAAUUCACUAUUAAAGUCACCGGCAUAUAAGCAUUUUCAACAAAUAAAGUAACCAACAACAUCACCUUAUAAACAAAAGUUCACUUUUAAAGUCACCGGCACUUAAGCAUUUUCAACAAAUAAAGUCACCAACAACAUCACCUCCUAAAUACUAGUUCACUAUUAAAGUCACAAAAACUUAAGCAUUUUCAACAAGUAGGACUACUAUCCCUAAAUUUUGAACAAAUAGAACAUCAUUCUUCUUCCUCUCAAUACAAAAUCUCAAGAAUCCAAGAUGCUUCAAGAAUCAAGCCUAUCCUCCUUCUCCCAGUCACUAGUUUUUCAUGGGUAAACUUCCUCCUCAAUGAUUUUCUUAAUCCAUGUAUUAUAUGUGAACUCUUAAUCAUGAACUCACAAAAUUAUAAAUCUUAUAACUUUAUAAAAAUAUGUAAUCUACGAAAUUCAUCAACUUUGUGGAUAUUAAUUGAACGAUUGAAUUUUACCGUGAGCCCUAAAAAUAUCAUGAGUCCCCAACAUAAGAAUUUACUAUAAUGAUGAAACUCCAAGAUCUUCAAUACUAACCCUUUUAUUCUAAAUUCAAUAAAAUAAGGUGUUCGUUCUUGCUUUGUUCUUAAGAUAUCUUGAAUCCUUACAAUUCUUGUUAUGUUCAAUAAUAAGAAUAGUUUAAAGUUUUUCCACAAUUCUAUAAUUCUAAAAUAACUUGAAUCUUUCAAAAUCUCCAUAAUAUUCAUAACUCUAUAAAAUCCUAUGUUUAAGAACUAUGACAUAAUGGCAUGACCCGCAUGACUUCUAACAUAACUAAUUUUCUCUAGGAAUGCCCUCAUUGCCUCAUAUAGAUGAUCUCUACAAUCUUAAGAUAUGCUUAAAGCAACAUGGACUGAUCCAAAAUCUCAUUCCCCAUAGAGUAAUGAAAAUCUAGAUCUUAUGACCAUGGCAACAUGUAUUAUGAUAUCACUUUCUAUGAGUCCCCAACAACAUUAAUAAAUAAUGUACCUAUCAUAUAUGAGCCUAAAAUGGCUAAUCCAUAAGUCAAAAGCCUAAAGUGACCAAUUCGCAAAUGGAUAAUCCAUAAAUCUAAACGUGAAUUCAUUAAGAUAAAUAUAUAACCUUAUGAGUAUAUAAGGGGGUUAGAUGGCUGACUGAGAAAGGCUGGAGAGAGGGAUGACUCAUCGCUGUUCGCGGCUGCUAGUGGUGGCAUCGGGGCUGGUGCGACGAUGGAGAAGUGAGGCAUCAUUGUUGGUGGCAUUGUCUUCAUUGGGGAGGUCGCUGGAGACGGCUAUGGCUGGCGCGGUUGUUGUCGCCGUUGUUGGUGGCGUCGGAGAUGAAGGGUUGGCGUGGUUGUUGUCGUAGCUGGUUGUUGAUGGUGGAGGAGAAUGGAGGGAGCCAGAGGCGGCGCUGGGUUGGCUCGCCGCUAUUAAUGGAUGUGGCGGCGGGGAUUUAGAUAGGAGGGAGAGAAGAGAGGUAGAAGGAGAAAGAGAGGAAGGCGGAUUAUUCUAGCUUUAUGGUUUUGGUUUUUGUCUUAGGUAUUAAAAGGAAGGCAAAGUUUGAAUUCAUCUCAUCCGUUGGAUCAAUUUUGAUCAAUGAUUGAGAUUAGAAUAGGGUCAAUCAAUUGAAAUUUCAAUUUUCGAUUAAAAUUGAAUAUUUGGCUAAAAUUGAAAUGAACCAAAUAUAGAUUGGCUAGAUUUGUAAUAGAUUAAAUAGAAAAGGCUAAGAUCGUAAGAAAUUGAAUAAAUGGGAUGAAAAGGUGAAUAAAUUAAGCCAGAUAAUUUUAAUUUAGGCUGUUAUUUAAAUAGUACUAGUAGUAAAUAAUAAUAAUAGUAAAUAAUAAUAAAAAUAAAUAAUAAUAAAAAUAAAUAAUAAUAAAUAAUAAAUAAUAACAAUAAUAAAUAAGAAUUGAAAUUUGAUUCAGUUGAAUUGAAAUAACUAUAUCCAAAACACAAGUCCACCUUUCAUAGAUUCAAUUGGAUUAUCGGUUAAUUAGAUUCAGUUACAUGGCUUUUGAUUACUACAAACGUCACUACACGAGAUAAAUACAUAUAUUCGAUUGGCAUGUACAUAUAUAGGUCAAAACUUGAAAUUUGAUUUCCUGGUCAAAUUGAUGUUAAUUUUGAUCAUAGUUGACACAAAUUGAGUACAAUAAUGACUAGAAAUUAAACUACAUAGGAGAGUAAAUUGAAAUUGACUUCUAUUUUAACAAAUAUAACAACAACAACAACAACAACAACAACAGUAAUAAUAAUAAUAAUAGGCAAUGUAUUUAUAAAUUGUGAAUGUGCAUAUGUACGUGAAAAAAAUAAUAUAAUAAAGAUUAAUAAAAUUACGUAAAAAGUCGUAUUUGAAUUAUUAAAUUUAUAAAAAUGAUACAAAAAAAUAAUAAAAUACUUUAUGCAUUUUUUAAAUCAUAAACGUAGCUUGUUGAAAAUAAUAAAAAAAUUAAUAUUAAAGGUUAAAUAAUUUUGACAAAAUAGCAUACUAAGAGAGCAUCGAGAGGUCAAAAUUGGGUGUCAACACUUUCAAAUACGUACUAUAGACAUCGAUCACGUAUUCAAUAUUUUUGGAUAGAUUUUGCUAGUUUUUUACUAAAUAGUUCAUCUAUCACUACAUCAUAUAUAUCAACUCUUAAAUACGUACUAUAUACAUCAGUUUUCAGCUUUCAAACACGUACUAUAAACAUCAUUUUUAAUUAUCUACCCAAAUGGUAUGACAUNNNNNNNNNNNNNNNNNNNNNNNNNNNNNNNNNNNNNNNNNNNNNNNNNNNNNNNNNNNNNNNNNNNNNNNNNNNNNNNNNNNNNNNNNNNNNNNNNNNNNNNNNNNNNNNNNNNNNNNNNNNNNNNNNNNNNNNNNNNNNNNNNNNNNNNNNNNNNNNNNNNNNNNNNNNNNNNNNNNNNNNNNNNNNNNNNNNNNNNNNNNNNNNNNNNNNNNNNNNNNNNNNNNNNNNNNNNNNNNNNNNNNUAAAUAUAUUAGAUUAUAUAUAUAAUCGAAUAUAUUAUUUUUACUACUACUAAUAAUAGAUUACAUAAAGUAAAUAUUAGAUUAUAUAAUUAUUUUUUAAAAAUAAUUAUUUACUUUUUUUUAAUUAAAAAUCGACCACUUGUGGCCGGUUUUUUAAAAUUAAUGUUUUUUAUUUUUUCAUUAAAAACCGACCCCAUGUGGUCGUUUUUCUUUAAAAAAAAAUUUUUUAAAAAAAUAAAAUCGAUCAUAAGUGGUCGGUUUUUAACAUAAAUAAUUAAAAAAUAAAAUAAAAACCGACCACUUGAGGUCGAUUUUUUAAAAAAAAAAUUAAUUAUUUUUUUUAAUGAAAACCAACCACAAGUGGUUUUGUUAUUUUUUUUUUAUUUUUAUCCGCAAAAGAAAUAAUAAUUAAUACUAAAAUUAUUGAAAUUAGUAUUUUGAUAUUUUUAAAAUAUAAAAGCGACCACAUGUGGUCGGGUUUUUUAGAAAAAAAAUUAAAAAAACCGACCACAUAUGGUCGGAUUUUUCGACCACAAAGUGUGGUCAGUUUUUCGUGGUCGGUUUUUUCAUUUUUUCUAGUAGUGUCUAUUCCCAUAGUGAAGUUGAGCAUGCAAACCAUUUGAGAAUUGUUUUUUAGACCCCUAAUAAUCAUCAACUAUUCGCCAAGUUCAACAAGUAUAAAUUCUAUUUGAGUUCAGUAGCUUUCCUCUGUUACCUUAUUUUUGGUGAUGGCAUUAGAGUUUAUCCUCAAAAUACUAUAGCAGUAAAAAACUUGCCUCAACCUAUCUCUCCAUUAGAUAUCAGGAGUUUCUUGGGCUUAGCUAGUUUGUUGAGUGAUUUUAUUUUAUUGCUUCUCCCAUGUCCAGACUAACUUAGAAGAAAUUUAAAUUUCAAAGGUCUGAUUCUUACAAAAAAAGUUUACAGGAAUUGAAGAGCUGAUUCAUUUCCACCCCAGUAUUGACUCUACUAGAGGGUUCAGGUGGUUUCGUGGUUUAUUAUGAUGCUUCCAGAAUUGGUCUUAGUUGUGUUUUGAUGCAUUGAGGAAAGAUGAUAACCUAUGCCUAUAGACAGCUUCAACCCUAUGAAAAGAAUUACCGACUCAUGAUCUUGAGUUGGCAACAGUUUUUUUUGACUUAAAGAUAUAGAGGCAUUACCUAUAUAGGAUUUACCUGGAUGUUUUUACUGAUUACAACAGCUUACAAUGUGUAUUCUCUCAGAAAAACCUGAGUCUUCAUCAGGAAGAUGGCUUGAAUUAUCGAAAGACUAUGAUAUGAGUGUGUUGUAUCACUCGAAUAAUGCCAAUGUUGUGGCCGAUGGACUUAGCAAGUUAUCUAUGGAAAGUGUUGUCCGUGUUGAGAAUGAUUAGAAGGAAUUAGUUUGCGAGGUUCAUCAGUUGACUAGAUUGGGCGUUCAGUUGGUUGAUUCAGCCGAAGGUAGUGUUUGGGUUCAGAAUGGGUUGAAAUCUUCAUUAGUUGCCAAAGUGAAGAAAAAUCAAGAUAGAGAUCUUAUUUUGACUAAGUUAAAAGAAGUAGUUUGGGGUCAGAAGGUUGAGGUUUUCUCUGAAGGGGAAGAUAGUGUUCUUCAUUGUCAGGGAAGGUUGUGUGUUCCAAAAAUGGGUGAUUUGAGAUAGGGGGAGAUAUUCGAGGCAUAUGGUUCCUGAUAUUCGAUUUACCCAGGAGCCACUAAGAUGUAUUAUGAUUUGAAGGAAGUCGAUUAGUGGAAUGGUAUGAAGAAGGAUAUUGUAGAAUUUGUGGCUUGGUGUCUACAUUUUCAGCAAGUUAAGGUUGAGCACCAGAGACCUAAUGCUAUACUUUAGGAGUUCAGCAUCCCCACUUGUAAGUGGGAAGUGGUGUAUAUGGAUUUUGUCCCAGGGUUACCCCUAAAAAGAUAGGCCAUGAAGUUAGAUUUCCUAUGCUUCAAGUCUCGCCUUAAUCCAAUGUCAUGGAAAAGAGUUGUGGAAAAUUUCCCCUAAGGACCUGAUACGCUGCUAUGAAUACGACUUAGCAAAUGAGUCGUAACCACUUAUGAUGAUUCAUCACGAGUGAAUCAUAAUCACAACAAAAUGUAACCAAGAAUCCCCUCCAAUGGUUACGAGUCCAACACAUGACUCUUAGUCAGACCUUAUGAGUCAUUGUGUGGACCUAUAGCCUGACCAGUAAAGGAUCCAAUAAUCAAGCCUCAGAUUAUGACUUAACCCAUUAACUCGUAGUCAGUCUUAAUGAGUCGUUAGGUUGCAAUUCGUUGUGAUAAAAAAAUGUAUCAAUAAUCCUAAUAUCCCAUGGUACGACUCAGACCACAACUCGUAAUCAGUCAUAAUGAGUCGUGAGGCGAGUCGUAAUGAUUUAGAGUGUGUUUUCCUUCAUGUUUUUCCAGGGACUCUUGUGUCUUUUCCCACCCCUUUAUAAGUCAAACCCACAUUGUUUUGGCUUCACAAGGGGUAGUAUAAAAUACCCCAAAUCCCCAAAUCAUAACAUAAUUAUCAAUUUCACUUAAGGAAUCAAAUAGGCGAUUCUUUUCUCUCUCAACAGAAAACUAAGGUUCUUCAAGUAAUUCUAAUUCUCAAGAAGGUUCCUUUAAGGGUUCAACUUCAGUUAUGUGGGAUAUUCAUCAAUGAGCUCUUUUCACCGAUUGAGUCCCAAAGUUCACUAAAUUUUAAAGCUUAUCCCCUUUUUGUAUAGGGUUCUAUGAGAAGUAUGAAUGACAUAAUUUAUUCAGUUAAACUCUCAAGUUCAUCCAUGAAAAAUAUAUUCCCUCUUGAUAAUUAUGUUUCCAUAUGUUUAUAAUGCAAAUGUCUACAUCAUGAUUAGUUAUUGAUUUGGGUGUUAUUCAUGAUUUUACCAUACCAUGGAUUGUUCAAUAUUUUUCAAGAUCAGUCUGCAUUAGAUAGUGUUGUUGGGUUAUGAACAACUAAUACCUAGAUAUUCAUAUAUGACACUGAUGUGAAGUUUCAAGUCAUUCAGAGUAUACUUGUAUAAUCAAUUUAGAAUACUAUCAUGUUGAUCAUAUGUUAGUAUCAUUCAUGUUAAGCCUUUUAUCAGUAUCAACAUCAGUUUAGUUGGGAGUAGGACUUAGCACUGAGCGAACCUAGGAUAAAGGCCCACCCCCCAGUAAAGGACUAAAACCUUUAGUAGAAGUCUCUAAGUUCCAAAACUAUAUUUCCAGUGUAGGUUAUGAGAGGUCACCCACUAGUUGAGAACUAACACUUUCUUAGGGGUCACCCUUCAAUAGAGGAUUGACACCCUAGUCUUUUGGGACAUCAUGUUAGUAGAUCCACAUGUCCAGUGUUGGUACCCCUGGCAAGGUACUAAUACCUUUUCACCUAGGGCUACAGGUUGGACCUUGGUUAGCUCAAAUUGGGGCAUGUCAAUUAUAUGAUAGCUCCCACAGUUUCAGUUCAGUAUUCAAAUAAUAUCAAUUCAGGUUUGCAUGACCAAGUGUCCAUAUGUCAGUUACUUAGUUAAUCAGAUCAUUUCAGUAUACGUUUAUACUUGAUCUUGCAUUCAAUACCCAUGUUCAUGCAUUAAUGCAUAAUAUAUACGUAUAUCUGGUAGUCUUUAUCUUACAUACCAGUAAUUCAAAGUAAUGACCACAUACUCUCUUUUGUUUUCUUAUAACAUAGGUUUGGAUGCUCAGUUCCCCAAUUGUACUUAGACAGUUCGUGUGCCACUCAGCGCAAUAUUGGUGUGUCCUCAUCAGUCGAGGACUAAUUAUAUUGUUUAUCAUGCUUCCAGUAUUUUAGUUCAUGUUUUUAUUCAGUAGUCAGAGUUAGUUGGGGACCUUCCCGAACAACUUAUCAUGUUUAGAGGCUUUCAGACAGUCAGAUGGUUAGUUAUGUCUUAAGUGAUGUGUUUCAGACUCUUUUGUUAUUGUCUUGACUAUUUAAACAUUUAGUAGAUGACUUCUGCACAAUAUUUCGUUAUCUUUCUUCAGUAUUUACAACUUAUGCCAGAUAAUGGGCUAUCUUGGGGUCACCUGUAGCCUUAAGCACUGUGUUACUACUAGGGGUAGUCUAGGCUCAUGACAGUUAACCUAGUCAAUAGAGCGACAAUCAAAGAGAAACUCUCCAAAAAUUUCCUAUAAUGCUUGGCUAAACCCAAGAAGCUCCAAAUAUCGGUUGGAUUCAUAGAUCUAGGCCACUUAUUAACCACCUUAAUUUUUUGUAGAUCCACCAUGAUCCCAUUACAAGAAACAACAUGACCAAGCAAAGUAACAAUAUUCAACCAAAACUCACACUUUGAAAACUUAGCAUACAACUGUCAAUCCUUAAGAGUUUGUAACACUAUAUGGAGGUGAUUGGCAUGAUCCUCCUCACCUUUGGAGUAUACUAAGAUGUCAUCAGUAACCACAAUAAUGAAUAAGUCCAGAAACUAAUAGAAUACCCAGCUCAUGAGAACCAUAAAUCCAGAUGGAGCAUUAGUCAACCCAAAACACAUGACUAAGAACCCAUAGUGGUUGUCCCGAGUUUGGAAAAAAAUCUUAGGGAUAUUCACCUCUCUGAUCUUCAACUAAUGAUAACCCGAUCGAAGAUCAAUCUUAGAAAAGUACUCAGCACCCUAAAGCUGGUCAAAUAGGUCAUCAAUCCUAGGAAGAGGAUACUUAUUCUUCACAGUCACAUUAUUCAACUACUAAUAGUCUAUGCACAUCCGAAGGGAAUUGUCCUUCUUACAAUCGAAAAGAACAGGAGUACCCCACGGAGAAAAACUACGAUGAAUAAAACCCUUAUCAAGGAGAUCUUUUAACUACUCAUUGAGUUCUUUUAACUCAACCAGAGCCACUGUAUAAAGUAGGAUAGUGAUAGGAUAGAUAUCUGGAAGAAGAUAAAUCCCAAAGUCUAUUUCCCUAUUGGGACAGGAAGAUUAUUGGGAAAUACUUCUUGAAACUCAUUGAUAACAGGGACGGACUACAAAGAAGGUCCCUCAGAAUUAGAGUUCUUAACCCAAACUAGAUGAUAUAAAAACCUCUUGGAAAUCAAUCUUUGGUCUCUAAGAUAAGAAAAACCUGCCCUUAGGCACUAGGGAACUCCCUUCCCACUCAAUCACUGGUUCAUUUGGGAAUUAGAAACUGACCCUUUGGGUUCUACAAUCAAGAGACUCAUGGCAUGAAUGGAGCCAAUCCAUCCCGAAUAUCAUAUCAAAAUCUAACAUAUCCAACUUUAUCAGAUCUACCAACGUCUCCCUUCUACAGAUAAAUACCACGCAACCCCUAUAAACCUUUCUAGCCAUAAUAGUGUCACAUACCAUUGUAGACAUAGAAAAAGGAUAAAAAAAUAUACUAAAGACAAAAACCAAAAUAAAUAGCCACAAAAUGGGUCACAUAAGAAAGAGUACACCCUAUAUCAAUCAGAAAAUAUACAUCACGAGACAAAAUUUGUAACAUACCAAUGACAACAUCAGGAGAAGCCUCAGAAUCUGGAUGGGUGGCAAGAGGAUACAAAUGGUUUCAACUAGUGCCGGUACCAAAGAUUGCACCCUUCGGUGCUGGAGCUAAAGAUGUAGCAACCAAAACCUUAUUAGCUCCAGUAGCGACAUUGCCUAUGGGAUAAUUCCUCUAAAUAUGGCUAGUUUGGCCACAUCUAAAGUACUUAUUUCUCCCCUUAUCACAAAAACCAAGGUGCAAUUAUCCAAAAUUCUACAAGGAGGAUAUGAUGGAGAUAAUUGGGGCCUGGGAUUGGGCACUUUAUGCCUUAAACCCACCUUACUCUAAAAAUGAUAAUCACCAGAUGGCUUAGGAUAUAGAGUAGUAGCCAUAGAAUAAGAACUAAAUUUUCCCUACUUAUUCUUAGACCACUAUUUUUCAUCUCUACCAUUAUUUUGCUAGCCUCCACCUUGCUCAGAAUUCCUAAAUUUCUUACUCUGUCUUUCCCCUAGUUCAGCUUAUUUCUUCUUUUUGUCCUUCACUGAUGCAUAUACACCAUAAGCUUAGAGAUAUCCAUAUGAUUAUUUAGCAAGGUGGCCUUGCACUCGAACACUAAGUACUAAGACAACCCCAAAGAAAACUUCCACAUCCUAGCUCUCAUAGAUGAAACCAACUCCAGAGCAUAGCGAGACAACUGAUGAAACUUCAGGGCACACACCUUCACCGUCAUUUUGCCUUAUUUCAAAUUCACAAACUCCUCAGCAUUUGCCUCCCUCAACUCUUGAGAAAAGAAGCGAUUGAAAAAGGCACUAGAGAAGUCCUCCCACAUAGCUGGCUUAACAUCUUCACCCCUCAACUGCUCCCACUUCUCAUACCACGAAUAUCCCACAUCCUUUAACUAAUAUGCGAUGAACUCCAUGCCCAUAGCAUCAGUAGCAUGAAUUACUUAGAAAAUCUUUUUUAUCUUAUCUAUGUACCCUUGAGAAUACUCCUCAACCAUGAAACCAAUAAAGGUUUGAGGAAUCAAUCUCAUGAAUUGAGCAACCCUUAUGGACUCAAAAAAAGGAGUGACAGGAGUAAUACACUCAGACUGACAUGUCUGAGAGGCUGCCAACCAAGUAAGCAAAUGAAUCAACUGGCAAAACUCAAUAUUCGACACACCCCUUGAGGCGUUGAGAAAAAAGUACCAUCAACCUAAGGAGGACUAGUAGGAAUUGAUGGAACUCCAUAGGGGCAAUCAUAAGAAGGGACCCUAGACCAGGUUUAUACCCCAUAAGUAGGAUGAGUUCCAUCCACAUUGUCCUUUAGUGGGAUUGAAGAGUUUGCAUGAGCAUCAGAUCUUCUGGGAGGUAUGACCUAAAAUGUGAACAAAUGAGAAUUAGAGGAGAUUUCAAAAUCCUAGACUCUACAGCCUAAAAGUAGAACACAAAAAAGGAAAACAUUUCUAAGUGACUUGUAGCCUCUCCCUUAUAAGUGUUGCACACUAAAUACCCAUAAAAGAGACUCUACUCAACACGGUUGUGUGGACACCCAAUGGACCAUGAAUAUUGGGCUAUGAUACCAACUUGUCAUGACCCAAACCCGGGUCUGGACAUGUUGGGUAUCAAAAGUCCACUAAGUACUGGAGACCACCCCCUUUACCUAGACAAACAGCACACAAUACAACUAGCAGCGAAUAAAUUCCAAAUACAUAACAAGAUAGAAAAAUUAGAUAACUUACAAUUACUUAGGUUGUCCAACCAACAACUCCAAAUCUACAUUAAUCCACAAAGCCUCUAAGUAUACCAAAGCUAAUCUAAGUUAGGACAUGCCCCCGACAAUAGCCAAAAAGGUAACCAAAGAGACCGUCUAUGAUAAAACUAGACCAUGAAAUAAUAAGCCAUUCGAAAGAAAGUGGCUCACCACUUCAAGUUGACUCACAAACAGUCCAAGAAGCACCUAUCACUGCACAAAAAAAGUAGAAGAGUCUCUGGUUCUAGCAUCACAUGGUGAUAUAACAUCCAGAGAUGGUAAGCGGGGUGAGCGCUAGCAUGCAACUCAGGAAGGGAUAAGAUAAUUCCAAGUCAAAACCACAGUAAAAUUCAUAUGCACACAUUGUACAUACAUCUAUAUAUAUAUAUAUAUAUAUGCAUAUAUAUAACAUGUGGGGAUAGGUAACAAGGUUUAGAAUAAAGUAAAAUAUUAGCCUUGACUAUGUAGCUUAACCAUCAUAAAAAGACACCCACGAGCUAUAUGGGUUCAGCUCCCCCAACUGAAAGGCCUCUCGUGUGUAUUAGUUUCACGUACUAAAGGUAUCAAGAAAGAACAUGGGAUACCCCGGGCCUAUGCUAAUCCAGGAUAAAAAUUUAUAUACAUAUAAAGUAUGUCAUAUGCAUAAGGUUAUGAAGACCAAUCCUCAUACCGGCAAAUGUAGGUUUCCAGUAUCAGUUACCUCGGGACAUCCACCUUCAUGGCUUAGCUACAUAACCCCUUUUAAGGCUGUAUUAAAAUAAGUUUCACAUAACCCAUCCAUUUAUCCAGGAAAUUAACCAUUCAGGCACACCAUAGGUGUCGUCAUACCAUUACGCUUGCAAGCUUAUAAUUAUGCCAUCACAAUUCUAUUAUCUUUGGGGAAUUUCUUGACCCCCUUUGUUCAUUAAACAAACAUGGGAGAAUGCCACGAUGCCCUUUGUUCAGUGAAUCAAAUAUACGAAAUUCCUCAACACCAUUUUAGUUAUCAAAGUAACUCAGGGAAUGCCUUGACCCCGAGCUUCCAAUUAAAUAUAAAAACAAACCGAACAAGUCUUUUGAUAUGAUUUUUCAUCCGUUUAACCUUUUAUGCAAUGCAAUAAUAUAGUUGAGUGAGUCAAACCAUUUGAUAAAUCAUAUUCAAAGCCAAUUACACAAGUAGGUUGAGGGAACGCAAUUUAACAAAAAAAAAAUUCAAACCAAAAUCAUCAAUUUGGGAGAAUGCCUCUACCCCCUUUCUAAUUCCCAUACCCAUGCACCCAAUUUGUUCAAAAACCAUUGAUAAAGCAUGAGCAAUGCAUAUAAAAUCAUGGAAAUUCAAUUCAAAUAACAUUCAUUCCAAAAAUCCUCAACCAUAUCAAAAUCCAUAUUCAAAUCCACAUGAAAAACCAUUUGAAUACAUGUUUUAAGUAAAAAAAAUUUAAGGGAAAAGUAACAUGUCUGAGAUAUUAAGAUUUAUAGAGAGAAAUUAACCCAUUGACACUUUAAUUGCCAAUUUCUUAAAAAUCCUAGGUGUUCUUGACUUGGGGAUUUGAGAGAGUAUUUUGAUUUGUUAUAGUAAUGAAAAUAACCCAGUUUGGGUGUUUUAUGGAUGUGGGUCCUAACUGGGGAAGGAGGGAAAUAACGAGAAUACCCCUACUUAAAAGUGCAGAAAAAGUUACCAAUCAUCACGUGUCGCCUUAUAACUCGUAGUCUAAAUAGUAUCUCAAAGACACCUAAUUGUUAACCUUAUGAGUCACACACUACGACUCAUGAGGUGUCAUUACAACACGUAGGGUCCUGGUCAUUAUCAAGGAAGAAACAUCAAGCACCUUUACUGGGUUGGCUACAGGGGGCACUAUAUGACUCGUUUAGAGUCUUGAUAACUCAUUGUGUCUACUCAUACUUAGAAUAAACAUCUUAGGCAACCUCACUGGUUGCCUUAUGAUUACGUCCCUAUGACCCAUAGUGAAAUCUUUAUGACUCAUAAGGUAAGUUGAAAUAAGGGUAGUGAGUCCGAAAACUCUGGAAUUUUCCAGGGCCAAAAAUAUGGAGUGUUACACUGAUAAGGGACUCAGGAUAUUGAUAUACACUGCCUGGUCCCAAACUAGGACUUCCAGUAACCAUUAAAACCAAUCUACUCUGUCCAAUACUGGAGAUAAAUAAGAGUGUAAUAAUUUCUCAGACCUGAACCGAGGCUAAAUGAGUAUAAAUAUGUCAACCCAUUGCCUAAGAUUUAAUUUGGGACUAAAAUAGUAUAAUAAUAUAAGAAAAGUUAAAAUCUUCCUCGGCCGUAGUAAAAAAGUAGUGGUAAAUGAGUGAAUCAAUAAUGGACUAGAAUAAGUCUCGGCCAAAUUUUCAAAAAGUAUAUUUAGUUUAAAAUAUCAUAAUCCAAUAAAAAGGGUGGUACAACUUUGAGUUUCAAAGAGACAAUUUUAAUAGCUAAGAAAACAUAGGGGAAAAUCCAUUUUUAUGACAGUAGUAAUCAAUCUUCUAACCAGAAUCUUACCACUAAAUAAAUUUAAUGCAUCUAAAUAUAUGCAUGCCAUCACCAGUAUCCAAACAAUACAACAGUAAGCGUCUUCACAUCAUAACUAUACCACAUCCCUUCAAAGGAUAAAGUACCAAUCUGGCAUCCAAUAGGUGUCGUAACCAUGACCUUGGGCCCAUCAAUAUAUAACUCAAUAAGAUAUUAAUGCCCAAAAAAUGAGAAAGUAGUGUAAACAAGGGCAUAAAGUUACUAAAAGGAUCUAAUCAUGAAAUAUCACCAAAAAUACUAUGUAAUAUCUUAAGUCUUUUACUGAAAUUCCCCUUAUUCAAAUCUAUGGUUAAAAAGUGUAUAACCAGGUGUAAUAAGAUCCUACAACCUUAACACAUAUUCUAGGCUAAGGUUUGGUUUACAUUUCUAUUCUAAAACCCUUAAUUAGGUUAAGACGUGAUAUAUUCUAGGUAAAAACAUACCUGUAAUCCCUACCUAGCAUGCAAAAUAUACAAUACAAAAUCUCAUAGAGAUAAGUAGAUCAAAGCCUACCUCGAUGACAAAUAGUAACCUCAAAUCAUCCAUAAGUUGCUUGUUCCCUCCACACAAUCUCUGAAAACUGCCGCACCAAGAAUCUCAAAGAAACAAGAAAAAUCAUCCUAAGUUCGAUCUUUGGACUAGAAUCCGAACUUGAUUAACUUGAUAAAGAUAGUUAAUUUCAUUUUGAUGAUCAAAUACCGCAUCAAAAACAUGAAUUUUCCUCCGGCCCCUCAUUAACAUUCAUGUAAGAGUAAAUUUAUUAGGUGCCAUAAUGUAUUAUAACUACUUAUCUAUUAUGAACGUAUGCACUAAAGUGAGAAUGAAUGAAAAUGGUAUUUUAUCUUGUGAAAAAUGAAAGAAAAAACAUGUAAAACAAAGGUCACUUUUAAAUUGAACAAUUUUUUUAGUACUAAUUAUACCAUAAUGCCAAAACUUGGCCAUUCAUUAUGGACAUUUGGUUGUAGACUCCUAAUUCUUCCACAUGGAAUGAUGUGGUGUCAAUACCAUAAUUGACUUUAUCCAUUACAUUGGACAAGGUCAUAUGUACUCUAGUAUUGUAUAGUUUCAUGGUAAAAUAAAUACAAUAUUUUGAAUAUACCAUAAUUAAUAAAAUAUUAUUUUAAAGAAAGCCUCUAUUUUGUAAUAAGAAUUUUUCAACAUAACUAGACUCGUUAUCUUCGUUUAAAAUAUUAAUAAAUUAUAAAAAAUUUAUUAAAUAGUAUAAAAAUAUAUCAUAAAUAAAGAAUUUUCAUAAAUAUCAAAAACAUUUUAGAGAGAUAAUUAAAAAAAAUUAUAAAUUUAUUAAACUCUAAUUUAAAUUAAACAUUGCAGAAUAAACUCGAUACUAAUGAAAUCCUUAAGUGAAUAACCUACAAAUCGAACCACCUAUCCUAGAAGGUCAUAAAAUAAUGACUAGAACUAUUUGAAAGCUCAAAAUGACAAAAACGUAAGAAAAAUUAAAAAUGGUGUAGAGGGUCAUCACAUGGUACUAGUAUCUCAUAAAUGUUGUAUGGAAUAAGGACGUAAUUCUCACAAUCAACUCAAAUGAUGAUAUCAAUUCCAUCCAACACGAUAUAUAUAUAUAUAUAUAUGAGUGAACCCAGAAAUCAACUCAUAUGUCCAUAAUUCUUGAUUUUCAACUCCAACAGGUCCCCAUAAGCAUAAAUUUGCAUGCAAGACAUUAUUAAUUUCAUAUCAACCUCUAACUCAGGAAUUUUAUCAAGAUAAAAUCAUCCAACGCUUAAUCAAGUCCAAAACAAGAAAAAUAAUCCCUCGCAUGGGCAUCAUAUCUAGAAUAAAGGCAUUUAGAUGCAUAGAUAUCAAUAAAGACCUCAUACGGGCAACACACAAUAUAAUAUACAAAUCAAUCACAACAGAAUAUAAGCCUUCAUAUGGUCACACAACAGUAAAACUAAUCUUGAAAUAUAAAUCUCAUAGCAAUUUUCCCCAACCCAUAGCAUGCUUUAAUUAUUCAUUAACUACAAAGCUCAAUCUGAAAGAAGCUAAGUCAUAACCUACCUCAAAACGAUAAAAUCUAGAUCUAAAUUUCUUCAAUACGGAGCCUUUCACUCAUGAACGACCUCAAAACAAACUACAAUAUUCAAAUAUACUAUCUAUGCAUUAAUAAAGAGCUAACGACAUCCCUAUUGUCCCUAUUUGAGUCGAGGCCAAAAAUGGAUUCAUAAAAUAAGUUAAUUAGAAUUUUAGUUUUAAAGAAUAUCCUCCAAGGUUAUAGGAGUAUACUAGAGGAAACCCACGUGAAAACGAGUUAAAAUCGAGGUCCAAAAUGAAGAAAACUCCUUUUUAAACUUUACCUAUGAAAACCGUAUUUUUUCACUAUGAAAUCAUGAUUUAAAUGUAUUUUUGAAGAUAAAAUCAAUAGAAAAUAGUGAGAUUAUGAGUUUAGAAGUUCCCAUACAAAAUUGAACGUUAAACUCACAAAAAUCACCUUUCUCAAAGCUUGGUGGUCCCAAAUAAAGUAAAAUUGCAAAAAUGGAGUAUUUAUACUAUUAAGCAAAUAGUACAUCAAGAAUGCGAUCAACCCUUCACAUUCAUAAGGGUCAACGUUGACUAGAGCAUUAAAUUAGCCUUUGCAUUUGUGAAAGCCUUUUUACGUUUGUGAAGAAGAACCCCAUUGCACUCCGCGAUCGUGGCCAACACCUCGCAUUCAUGAUGAAGGGUGAAUUAUUUCUCAACAUUUAUAACUGGGGUCCCACAUUCAUGAAGAAGGAUCCAUGCACUAGAUAUCAUUUUUGCACCAACUGAUUUUGAAUGGUUUUAAAUAUUCUGAACAAACCGUCGGGAUUCGUUUAGGACCCGAUAGAAGUAAACAUUAUGUGCUACUAGGCUAAUUUUGAUGUUUUGAACUCAAUGUCAACAUUGGAUUUUUGAAAAAGGGUUGUAUCCAAAAAAUUAACCUCGGGGUUCUUUUUCACUUUUUUCCAUAUAAAGGAUCAAAAUGAGAUUUAAAAGUCCCAAAAUUGAACCAACAUUGCUAAUAUCCCAAAUUCAACAUUCAAUAUCUGAUGGUGCAGUUCAUUUUGCUUUUAGAUACUCAGAACAACAAAUGUUGACUGAAGUCAUCUGUAUGGCUUCUUAAGCUUCUAAAAACCAUAAAAUUACACAACUUUUUAUUGGCCGCAUUAGAAACCGUGCCAACCAUUCCCAAACCUCAAAGUCAACAUAUAGCAAAUAUGGGAAGGACAAAAUGGUCAAAACAUAUAGAAAUGGUAAAUUCACAUAUUCAGGUCAUCACAACACUCACCACUAAAAAUCUAAUUCGUCCUUGAACUAAAGCUAAGAUAAUACUUAAAUCAGUAAAAGACUUAGGGUAAAUACUAUAAAUGUCAAACUCAACCUCCCAAUAUCCCUCUCAAUGGGAUGGUAUCUCCACUGAACCUUAACCAUAGGAAUAUCUCGAGAACACAACCGUCUCACAUCCUUGGCUAAAAUAGACAUUGGUUUCUCAACAAAGUUCAACCUCUUAUCCAACUUAACUGAUUCCUUAUGUAGCACAUGAGACUUAUUCGAAAUAUAGCAUUGAAGCAUAGAUACAUAAAAAAUGGAUAAAUGGAUGAAUAGUCUAGAGUUAAGGCAAACUCAUAAGCAACGUCCUCAACUAUUAGAAGAAUCUCAAAUGUUCCAAUUUACUUUUGGCUAAUGUAACGACUUGAUUUUUGAUGAUUUACUUAAAAUAUUCAUUUCUGUGUGAUUUGACCAUUUUACCCCUUCUCGUAGUUUCAUUAUGGUAUUUCUAGGGUGUGGAAAUGAUUGACACAAUUCUCAAUGCAUUUCAAUGUGAUUAAUGUGAUAGUGUUCGUUUUGAUGGCUUAAAAAGUCUUAUAUUUGACUUCAAUCAACAUUUAUUGAUUGGUGCAUUGGAUGGCAAAACGGAAUGCUCUAGUAAAUCAGGAAUGUCAAUUUUAGGGUGGUGACAUUGUUGGUAUGGUUUUAUGGAUUUUAUAUCUCAUCUUGAUCCUCAGUUUGAAAAGUUAUAAAAUUGGGUUUCUGGAGUCAACUUUGUGAAAACGAUAUUUAUUCAAAUAUCUAAUAUCUCCACUGAGUCCAAAGCAUUAAAUUUAAUAGGGUAGCAUAGUUCAUUUGCAUUCAUUAGAUUUUGGUUGAAUCCUUCCAAGGAGACUUACAAUUCUCCAAUUUUCUAGUUGGUACUGGUGCACUUGCAAUCGCGAUAGUUUAGUUAAUUAUGUGACUUAGUACAUCAGACCAAGUAAAACAUAUGCAACAUCUUGGUCAUGAUCAUGACACUCACAUAUGCGAUAUCUAGUCGCGAUCGCGAGACUCGCAUAUGCGAUGUCUGGUCGCGAUUGUGGCACCUGCCAUCAGGCGAGGUAUUUCAUAUGUGACACUAUAAAGAUCCAACCCCGAGCUUAGUUUUGAUGGGUAUCUCAAGACCACAAAGGUACAGUGUACCACUCCAUUGCCUAGUCACCUAAACAUAAUAAAUAUAAUAGCGAAAGCAACCCAAACAUAAUGUGAAAGAUAGAUAGUUAACUCAAUAGAAACUAAGAGUCAAUAAACUAUAACCAUCUAUACUUUGUCCAUAAAAACCUCUCACAAAAUCGAACAUCAACCUAGAUAAGGACAUGCCCCCAACUAUAGCCUAAAGAAAUCCAAAAGUGAUAGUCUAUUACAACAUAAUAAAACCAAGAAGUAAUAGUCCUUUUGAAAGAAAGAGACUCACCACUUCAAGCUAACCAACAGCCGAACCAAAACCACCAAACUCUGCAAAAAAUAACCAAAGAAGCCCUUGGACCCUACAUCAAGAAAUGAUGCAACGUCUGAGGACGGUUAGUGGGAUAAGCACUAGCAUGUAACUCAGGGAAGUGAUGAAGUAAUGCCAAAAUCAAAUCAUUCCAAAACCAUUCAAAAACUAUAUAAACACAUGAAUUUUUAAAAUCAUUAACCUAGACUGUGUAUCUCUAACCUUCCUAAGGGCACCCAUGGUAUCUAUGCCCUACUGAAAGGGCCACAACACGUGUUAGAUACGCGAAUCGUGGAAACCUGACAAAUGUCCAGGGAAUCCAUGACCCCAGCCAUUCUAAUAUAUAUAUAGUGUAAACUAUGCACACGGUCACCAAGAUCCCCACGCUGACAAACAUGGUUUUCAGUAUCGGUUCCUAUGGCAACUCCACCUUCCACGAUGAGCUACACAAACCCUUUUAAGCCUAAAUUAAAACCAUUUACACAUUCUCAUCCAUUAACCAAUGAGUCUUUUAAUUAGGCAUUUACUGUUGGUAGCAUCAUAACAAAUAAAGUUAAUCUUGUAAUUCAAUUUCUCUAUGCCAUCCAAAACCAAAUAUACAAAUUUGACUCAAAAGUUUCCAAUUAAAAACCAAUACAUGGCUACCAAGGCCUUCCAAAUUUUUUUUUAAGUUCCAUUAAUAUUUUAUGCAAUGCAAAGUUUUAAAAGUGAGUUGAACCAUGUGUAUUUCCAUGUUCAAAACCAAUUUCAUAAAUAGGAUUGAAGGUAAGGCCAAUUCCAAACCAUUAGACCAUAAAAUUUGGACAAACCAUGUUACCCAUUCCAAUUACCAUAACCAUGCAUAUAUUGACUUAAAAACCAUGAGACUAACCAUGAAUGACAAAUUUAAAAUCAUGGAAAACCAAUUUAAACAAUAACCAUUCAAAAUUCAACCCACAUUCAAAACCGACAAUUAAAUCCACAUGGAUAGUAAUUAAACAUAUGCUUGUAUGAAAAUUAAUUUAGGGAAUAGAUACAUGCCUAAAUACACCAAGAAUUUUGGAGAAUGACCACCAAUCGAAGCUUAGAUAAUCAAGCCCUUGAAACACUGGGUUUUCUAGACUUUGAAGUUUGAGAGAAGAGAGUUAUUUAUGACUUAAUGAUUUUAUGUUAAAAGGGUCAAAAGAGGAUUUUAAGUCAUGGGUAAUAGAAGGAUAUGAGGAAAAUAUCACAAUUCCCCUAAUGAAAAUGGGCAGGAAAUAUAGUGCCCAAUUGUUAUGGGUUAGUUAAGGACUCGUGGUCACUGGUCAUGAGUUGUCACCAUGACUCGUAUCCUAGGAAGAAACUAUGGUAAACCACACUAUAAUGGUCAUGAGUCACACCCUAUGACUCAUAACCAAACCUUAUGACUCGUGAGGGAUAAGUCGUGAUCCAAAUAAAAACAUUAGGCCACCUCACUGAUUUUGCUAUGAUUGGAACUAUAAGAUAAGUGAAGAGAACCUAUGAAUCAUCACUUAGAGUCCAAAACCUGGGGUAUUAUAGCACCUGGUCAUAUAUGUGAUGCCUGGGUUCUAUAAAUAUUCCUAUUUUGCCAUUUUGACCAUUUUUUAGACUUGGAGCUUAGGGUUUAAUGAUUUUGAGAAUUUUCUUCUACUUUUAAGCUUAGGUAACAUCUAUAACACCUAUUUAAACUAUUUUCUCCAAAUUUCAUCUUGUAAUUCUUUUUUAAACGCUAAUUAAAAAGGUGGAAAUUGGGAAUUUUAGCUCAUAAGGCCUAAAAAUUGUAAUUCUCUAAUUCAAACAUCGAUUUCAACCCAUUUUUACUUGGGUGAGUUUCUAAUCUUAUAAUUAUCACUUUUCAUUCAAUUUCAUUUUCAAAACAACUUAAAUUCUUGAAUUUUAAAAUGAAUUUCAUGGAUUUUGCUAGUAAAGCUUAAAAUAUGGGUUUUCUUUGAUGUGGGGCUCAUUUUUAACUCGUUUUUGCUUAAGUUUUCAGAUACAAACUCCUAAAAAUAUAGGGAAUAUGUUUCAAAAAUAAAAUUACUAUUUUGCACUUCUUUUUUGAAAAUCUAUUUCGGAGGUUCAUUUUGACCCCAAAUUGAAAAUAGGCAAUAUGGGCAUUGUUGGCUUUAUUUUGAUGUAUAGAUUCUAUAUAUGUAUGAUUUAGUUGAUUCUAAGUCUAUUAUUAAGGAGUAGGGCCUAGGUUUAAAGGCUUGUGAACCAGUUUUUGGCAUUUGAGGUAGGUUAUAACUUAACUUUCUUUAGACUGGGUUGGAAAGUUAAUAAUAAUAUUAAAUCAUGCUAUGGGUGCGGGGUUGUAUUACGAAAAAUAUGUUAUGUGAUUAUGUGCUCGUGUGGGGGCCUUUGUGAAUAAUAUUUGGUGGUCUUUAGACUAUUUGCUAUGUGUGACAGUGUGGGGUCUUACAUGAUGUUGUUGGCCUAGUAUUGAUAUAUGUAUGUUUGGUUGUAAUAUUUUUGGUGGAAUAGCCUAGACUUUGGGAUUUAUGUGGUAUCAAUAAUAUUUUCUUGCAUGUUUCACUUAAUUAUUUUUGGAUUAUAUUGGAUCAUGGACGGUUUGUUGAUUUGAGUAGAUAUUUGUCUCACAUGGUUGGUACAUUGGUUGGACAUUAAAUAUUAUUAUUUUAGGUGGUUAUGAGCAUUACUUUUUUAUAUCAUAUUCAUUCAUGAAUCAUUGGUACCGCUGUAGAAAUACUGGAGACACUAUUUUUUCUAAGAAAAAAUAUAUUACCCUUAAAAACCCUCUACUGAAGAUGUACCAGAGAGGAGUUAUAGAUAUUGGUAUUAGAUGUUGGUCUUAUAUGAGUUAACGAACAACCCAUGAGUCCUACAUCUAUAGCUGAGUCUGGUAGGUGUAGGUUUAUAAUCCCCACAUGAGUCGUAUUUCUAGGCUGACAUCGGUAGGUGUAUACGGAGGUUGUGUGAAGACCUCAUGCAUCAUCAUCAUAUUCAUUUCACUUCAUGUAGUGUGUUUAUAUUGUGAUUGUAUUUUGUCCUUUCCUUGAUAUCUACCAUAUGCUCUAUCUUCCUAUACUUGUAUUUGAUAUAUGUGUAUAUUUGUUUUUCUUCUUUCAACAUGUAUUGGUUAUAUGUGUGUAUAUUUGAACAAUUAGUGGAGAAGGUAUGGGCUACUGUUUGGGAUAUUUUCUGAUUACAGGUGAAGUGACCCUAGUUUGUGUUUAUAUACUUUAUUUUCUACUUUGCUUAGUCCGCCUAUGAUACUUACUGAGUACAAGUGGACCAUGAUCACCCUUACUGUGCCCUUUCAAUGUAGACCCAGGUACCAAUGCAUCUCAUGGUAGUUAAUUUAGGUGUUACUUAGAGCCUAUUCGGGGUAACAAUUGAUCUACGCAUCUGGAGUUAACUUCUAUCCUUUCUUAUCUAGACUAUGUCUUAUUUUAUAUUAAGAGGCAGAGAUUGAUCCUUUUGGACUAUUAUUGUACCUGUUGGUAUUCAAGAUUUAUUUAGUAGUUCUUACACUAUGACGCCAGGUUUUGUGAUUUUGGUUGGUAUCUUGACAUUAUUUUUCCUUUUGCUAUAUAUGUGUGUGUGUGUGGUUCAACUCUGUUCUAGGGUCUUGCCUUGGUUUGGUAUUAUUUUCUCAUUCUCUAUUAGUUUGGGUGAUAGGCUAACUUACCAGGGCUUACCGUGACAAGUGCCAUCAUGACCCAUAGUUUUUGGGUCAUGACAAAUUAUUAUCAGAGCACCCAAGUUCAUUGGUUUUAACAGUGUAAGAACAAGAUUUCUAAUAAAGUCUCACAGAUCAGUACGUAAACAUCCAUAUCUAUCAUUGAGAGGCCAUAGGAUGUCUUUAGAAAAGUUCCAAGAUUAUUUUUCCAUCGUGUGGAUUUCUUUCAUACCUUUUGUUCUAAGUAAUAUUUCACUCUUUAUUACACAGAUGGUGAUUACUAUAUCUUGUGAGGUUAGAGAUGUUGAGCCUUCAACCGAGGAGAGAUCCCAAUAUAGAGGGUAAGCUAUGAGUCAUGGACCGGCAUGAGGUAGUGUACGAGCUCAUGGAUCUGCCCUAUCUAGGAGUAGUGCUAGGUCACUUUCUCCUAAGUCUCAUGUUGAGCAUGUUGGAGGUGUAGGUCCUAAUUCAGUCCCACAAAUUUUUUUUACCUCAAUUUUGGAAGGGUUGUUGGUUCAUUUGUUGACCCUAGAUGAGGCUACAUAUUUAUCCACUGCCUCGAGCCUGUCUGUGAAUUACAACUCACCCUCCUUUGGGUGCUCCUGGUAUUUCUCCAAUUUUGAGUAUUGUACCUCUAUCUAUGUCAGAGUCUGCUUAUGGUGUUCCCCCAACUCCGAGUGUGGAUUCUUUAGUAUUACCUACUUCUUAAUUCGGUACUCCAUAGACUCUAGGUGUUGUUCCUCCUUCAGUGCCUGCAUCUGAGUAUGCUAUUCCAAAGUUUAGAGUUUAUCCAUUAUCGAUUUUGCCUCCUAAGGUAGGAUAUCAUCGUGCUAGAUUCACCAUGCCUCCUCUUAUUAUGAGUACAAUUAUGUAUUCUGAGGAUCAGAAGAGGUUUGAGAGAUUUACUCAUUUAUAGGAUACCUAUGAGUUUUUGAUCGAUUGUCAUGAGUAGUUGUAUAACCUGGGUUUGGUUGAGUCAUAUGGUGUCACAUAUACUACUUAUCAAUUGAGCUAUGUCAUGAGAUAUUGGUGGAGGUUACUUGCUAGUUGAAGACUUUUCGAUUCUCCUGGGAUGAUAUGGAAUCAGUUUGUUGAGCUAUCUUGGAGAGUUUUGUGCCUUACAAUAUGAGGGAUUAGAUGAGAAAUGAGUUUGAUCGCCUUGAUCAGGGCUCCAUGAUUGUUGCAGAGUAUGAAGAACACUUUUAUGCCUUAUCUAGAUAAUCUUAUGCCAGUGUUUCCACCAAGUUUGAGAAAAAUCAGAAGUUCAUGAAUGGGUUGGAUAUUUCUCUUUAGCUUGCUACGACUCAGAUGGUAGUGAAUAGAGCAUCCUUUUAGAGUAUAGUGGAUCAUGCAAAUAUGAAUGAGGGUAUUCAUUGAGAAUUUAAGAGAGACACCAAAAAGGUGAGCCGUCUGGAUGAGUUCAGAGGUCACACAUCUCGAGGUAGGGAAUCUAAAGAUUUUUGUAGGCAUCAUGGCAGACCAAUGCAGGAAGCCCUACAGAGUUCUGGUAGUUGAUCUUCUGGUAUGGAAACUACAGGUAGUUAUCCUAGUUUAGUCGUAUCUUCUUCCAUUGAGCUAAGCCACAUGGGUUGCUUUGUGUGUAAUAAGACUAGCUAAAGGUCCUGGGACAGUCCCGUGGGGUCUUUAAAGUGACACAACCCAAACCAGGGCCUGAUUGUAUCGGGUAUCUCAAGUCCAACUAGGAUCGAAGACCACCCCCAAUACCCAACUGAUUACCGCCCUACACCCCAUGUCGGAUGAAUUUCGAACAUAUAUCAAGAUAAGAUAAAAACAAACAGUCACAAACAAACAUCCAAUCGAAACCAAUCUCAAUGCCCAUACCAAUACCAAUGCUAACACCAAUACCGACACCGCCCAUGCCCAUAGUAGUCCAAAAAAGCCUCUAACCAGAGUAAAAAAUAUCCAGUCGGGAUAUGCCCCCGACUUUAGCCAAAACCAAAACCUAAGAAAUAAAAUUGACAUAAAGAAGUCCAUAUCAUGAAAUGAGGUCUUCCGGAGUAUGGAAUCUCACCACUUCAGUCUAACUCAAAAGUUGUGCCCGAAUAACCAAGUCGUUGAGCAGGAGGAGUGAAAGUAUGGCAGGUUCCUGCAUCAUAUGGGGAUAUAGUUCUCGAAGACGGUUAGUAGAGUGAAUGCUAGCAUGUAACUCAGGGAUAAUGAUAAAAUAAUGCCAUCAUUCAAAAUCAAAUCAAAUAACCAUAUACAAUCACAUAUAUACAUAUAUACCGUGCCAGGAUAGGGAACGAGGUUUAGCAUGCAUUUAAAAUCUUAACUUGGAUUGUGUAGCCUUACCAUCAUAAAUCCACCCACGGGCUAUAUAGGUCUAGUGUUACCACUUAAAUAGGCCCCAGUACGUGUAGCCGUACAAACCAGAGAUAUCAUAGGGGCCGGGGAUUCCCGUGUACCAUUUUCCCUCCGUGAUACAUAUAUAUAAGUAUAGACUUGGAGGAUUCCCAUGUACCCCACAAGCAUAAGGUAACCAAGACCAACCUUCAUGUCAGCAAACAUAAGUUUCCAGUGUUCGUCCUUCGGACUAACACCUUCAUAACUAGCUAUCACAACCCCAAUUAUUUCCUAAUUAAAACAUUUAGCACAUAACCAUACAAACCAAUUCCACAAGUCAAUUAGUAAGAAAUUAUAAAGUGGUAUCGUCAUACCGACUAUAGCUUGCAAGAAAUGUCAUUAGCCAACACUUAUGGGAUUCCCGUGUACCCCAUACUCUAUUAUUAAAAUCACUUGGGGGAUUCCCAUGUACCCCAUAAGUUUUUUCAUUAUAAGUUCACUUGGGGGAUUCCUUCUUACCCAACAAGGUUUUCAAAACCAUCCAUGGCCAUUUAAACCAUUUGUACUAUGCAUUAGUUUCAAGAAAUAAGUCAAACCAAACACUUUAAAGAUUCUAUUAUACAUAUAGUUCAAAAUCCCACUUUUCUCAUAACUACUAACCAAUUUUACAAUAUAGGGUUGGGGUCAUAACCACUUAAAGAGUCACAAGUUUAAAGAAAUUUACCACUAUUAAGUUCAACCACCAUACCCAUGCAUCCACAUGUUCAAAACCAUGAUUAAAACGUGAAAAACCAUAAUUAAACCAUGGGAAAACAUUAUUCAACAAUAAGCAUUCAAAACCCCAAACCUUUAUUUCAAAACCAUAAAAAUACCAUGAAAACCAUGCAUUAAAACAUGUGCUUUGAGUAAAGUAACAAUGUGGGAGGAGUAACACACCUGAAUUACAAAAAUUCACCGAGAGAAUUUGACUCUUGAACCCUGAGAUGACCACUUUAGGAAAACCCUAGCCAAUAUUGCUUGAGUGGAUUUUGAGAGGAUAAAAAGGAUGUUUAAUCUUGUAAAGUAUGGAAUGAAUGCCCCGAAAAGUGUUUUAGGGAUGUGGGGUAUUAAGGAUUUUAAGUGGGAAAUGUCCAAAGUUCCCUCAACUUAAAAGUUGUAAAAGAGUCAUCCUUGGUUAUGAGUCAACCCAUUGACUCAUUACCACAUCAUACGACUCGUAGCCAUGAGUCAUAUCCUAGAAAGCAAGUUAGAAACCAAUACACUAUCCAUCUUAGGACUAUAUGACCCACUCAUGACCUGACCAUGUGAAUCAUAUGGCCAAAUCGUAUCAAAGACAGAACCCAUGGGAUUAGACACUGGACAACAUACGACUCAACCCUACCACUUGUAACCUAUCCCCAUGGCUCUUAGUGAGCACUCGUACUCAGACCCAAGUCAAGCCACUAAGUUACUGAUUUGGUAAAGGUUUGUCCUUAUGACUCGUCAUUUCUCCUAACAACUCGCAUCUCCAAGUUGUAACCAUAACAAAACCCCCAAGGACCAUCUACUAGACACCUUACAACUAGGGUCACCUGACCCUUAACCACUUCAUACGAAUCGUAUGAUGGGUCAUUACUAGGACAGUGAGCUUAAGGCUCAGGAAUUUUCUAAGGUAUUGACUAACACGAUUAAACUCCCAAACAUCUCUACUCUUACCUUUUACUAAGUUAGAAAUGAAAGAUGCCAAGGAAAUCAAUUUUUUCUUUAGCAAAGUCAGAAAACAAAGAUGUUAAGAAUAACACAUACCUAACGCAUGAUCUUUCGGCGUGGAAAAAAGAAUGGAUACUUGGAUUUUAUGUCCUCUUCGACUUCCCAAGUAGCCUCUUCAACCUUAUGGUUCCUCCAUAGAGCCUUUACCAAAUUGGUCUGCAACCGAUGAACCUGUCGAUCCAAAAUUUUACCCUGGAUUUAAGACAAGGAAUCUGAAAUACCAAUAUCAUUGAUAGGCACAAUCUGCGAUGGAUCACCUUUCUCAACAUAGAUACGUGGAACACGGUGUGAACAGAGCUCAUACUGGAUGGAAACUCGAAUUUAUAUGCAAUAGUACCAAACCAUCUCAAAACCAAGUACAGACAAUUAUACCAGGGCUGAGCUUUCCCUUCUUCCCAAACUGCACUACACCCUUCAUGGGAGAUACCUUUAAGAACACCCUAUCCCCAACCUCAAACUCUAACUUUCUUUACCUCAUAUUCGCAUAGGAAUUUUGGCAAUUUCCAAUGUAUUUAGCCUAUCUUAAAUCACCUUUACCUUCUCCAUGGUAUGGUGACCCAAAUUUGGGCCAAACAUCUCUGCCUCACCAACCUUGAACCACCCAAUAGGAGACCUAAACCUUCUCCCAUACAAAGUCUUAAACGGAGCCAUCCCAAUGCUAGAGUGGUAGCUGUUAUUAUAUGCACACUCUAUAAUAGGCAAAUGCUCUACCCAACUACCACCAUAGUCAAUAACACAAGCUCUACAUAUAUCCUUCAAUGUCUGAAUAGUUUUUUUUUGCUUGCUCAUCUGACUAUGGGUGGAAAGCCAUACUAAGACUCACUUUAGUCCACAAUUCUUUCUGAAAUUAUCACUAAAAGUGUGAUCAAAACUGCAUACCAUGAUCUAAGAUGAUAGAAAUAGUUACCCUACUCAACUUCACAAUCUCCUAGAGGUACAACCUUGCAUAGUUCUCUACCGAAAAAUUUGGCCUCACUGGUAAAAAAUGAGCAAACUUUGUCAUCCUAUCCACGAUGACCCAAAUUGAAUCAAACUGAUUUCAAAAAUGAGGAAUUCUAGUAACAAAAUCCAUAUUGAUCACUUCUCACUUCCAUAAAGUCAACUCAAUCUCUUGAUACAAUCCACUAUGCCUCAGGGCUUAACUUUUACUUUUUGGCACAUAAUGUACUUAGCCACAAAACUAGCCACAUCCCUAUUCAUAUUGUUCCACCAAUACAUCUUCUUAAGGCCAUGAUAAAUUUACAUUGAAUCAGGAUGAAUAGCGUAACUUGACUUAUACAUCUCAGCCAAGAUCCUCUCUCAUAAUCUAUCUGUGUUGGGAACAUAAAAUAUCCCUUGGUACCGCAAGGUACCAUCACCACUAAUCUCAAAGGCCAUCACCUUAUGCCCACCUAUAUCAACCAUGAUCCUGAUCAAGAUAGGAUCUAAUACCUAGUUCUUAUUUAUUUCAACACUAAGAGAUAAUUGUUCCACCUUCUGCACAAAUAUGCCACCAUCCUCAUAGUCAAAGAGAUGAACUCCAAGGUUCAUCAACCAGUGAAUAUCUUAUACCAAAUCCCGUUCCCUUCAUCCACAUGGUCUAGACUCCCCAUGGAUAACCUACUAAGAUCUUCAACAACAACAUUAUCUUUACCGGGAUAAUAGUAAAGACUCAUGUCAUAAUCUUUGAGCAGCUCAAGACAUCUCUUUUGCCUGAGAUUAAGUUCAUUCUAAGUAAAUACAGAUUGCAGGCUCUUAUAAUCAGAAAAGAUAUCCACAUUCAAUCCAUACAAGUAGUGAUGCAAAAUUUUCAAUGCAAAUACCAUAACCAAUAAUUCUAAGUCAUGAGUUAGAUAAUUCUUCUCAUACACCUUCAAAUGUCUAGAGGCAUAAGCUAUCACCUUGCUAUGAUGCAUCAAAAUGCAACCAAGCCUCACACAGGAUGCAUCAAGGACAUAAGUUGUAUACCUAGUUAUGACUUGUAAGCUGAAGUCAUAAUAUGAAUAGAGAAUUAAAGCAAUUUUUAAGAGUAAGCACUGGAAUGAUUACAACAAGGCAGGGUACAAUUCGUAAGCUGAGGAUAUAAGUGAAGACCAAGUCGUACCGAUUGUCAACUUAACUUUAACUUUCCCAUUUUUAAUGGAUUUUUAUGUUAUUUUGAUAUACUAGAAAUACCCUAGGGUUUAUCUUUUAUUAGGUUACGCAUAGUGAUUUUCUUUUACGCAUAAUCAUAUAUUAUUACGUACUUUUAAAAUUAUUCUUGAGAUUUGAGGGUUUUAUUCAAUUAAAGACUUUGGACUUUAUUCAUCUUAAUAUUGUACAAUUGAUUUUAUGGGUUCUUCAUUGAUAAUCAUGAUAUUUUGCAAAAACAUGAGCGGCUAAUCUCCUUAGCUAGGUUUGUGGGAAUCCUAGUGGAUUAGCUACGUAGAGGAAGUGUGACACACAUCUGUUCUAGAGUUUAUGCAUGUAUCCUAAUUCUUCUUCACUAUAAUUGAUUUUAAGUAAUGGCAGCAUCUUGAAAUAAAAGCGCGUAUUCACAUUCUUUCGAUAACCAAGAAGCUUAUGAUGGGGAAAAGAAGCUUAGGAUAGUAAUUUGGGAUUUCUGCCUCCACCUUAUAGUCGUCAUAUUCCAUCUUAUCACUUGAUCCGAUAACCAAGGAUCAAGUGAACUGAGGUCAUAGCAAAGGGCAACAAGGAAACACGCAGCAACGAUAACCAAGUCUAAGGGUGAAAUUUAUCUUCACGCUCAAAAGGUGGCUGAUAAUACCUAUCUUAUAGGCUUUACAUACAUAACAAAAGAGCAGUGGGUUGAUCAUGAGAAGUCUACAGAGUUAAGAAGCUAGGGGGACACAGACCUAGCAUUCUUCUCCUAUUGAUUGCAACUCGAAAACACUCAAGAAUUGGUUACUCUUUGCUAUUGAUAAUAAAAUCCCCCCAUUUACUUUCCUACACUGCUCGAGGAUUAAAUUAAGGUAAGCAACAACUCACAUUUUCUCUCUGGGAUUGACCCCAACCUAGUUGGGUUAUUAUAUUUGCAUCAACCAUAUUAUACUUUAGAUUGAGAUGUAGUUUUGGGUGAUAUCAUGCAUACAAGUUAUUGGGAUAGUUCGAUCGAGCAUGAUAAAUCUAUAAAGUUAGUAAGUCAAGGGGAACAUAGUCCUAGUACUCUUCUCGUAUUGAUUUCCACCAAAGUAACCAAGAUUUGUCACUUUUGAUACUGUUUUAAAUAACAACACCCCAUUUACUUUCCUAUAUUUUAUUGGAUACAUCAAUAGAUUCAUGAGAGACAUUCAUCUUAUCCCCUGUGGGUUUGACCCUAACCUCUAUUAGGUUACUGUAUUUGAAUUCAACUAUAUUAUACAUCUUUGAGGUAUUAUUUUGGCUACAUCACAUAGAACUGACAAUGUCUACUGCCAGAUUAAGUAACUCAUUGACCACCAUCAUAAGCACCUCUCUCUCUACCUCAACUACCCCUAGUUGUACCCCUAGAGCCGCUAAACCUUAACACAUACCACUUAAUCCCUAUAAAGAGGCCUAAAAUAGCCUACCAUGAUAACUACGAGAACCUAUACCAAAAAAUUAUCUACCUCGAGAGGUGUGUGUACUAAACUCAGUAGUACCCUAGUCUGGGAAGGUUGCCACAGUUCAGGAUGAGCCAUUAGUUUUACCCAGUUUGAGGAGGGCACAGACCAGUUUUCAUACCAAGUGACAGCUCCUAAUUUAGAGGAACCAACUCAGCAUGAUCAGACUCCCAACCCAUAUAUAUCUUAGUGAAACCUAUUUAUGAGGUAAACCCAAGAUGGUAUAUAGAUGGUUUUCCGCUAUUGUAUGAGUAAUAUAAUUUUAUUACCAAGACUGGCCGACCCAAUAAGGUUAUUUAUGAGGAGAGAUGAAUUAAAUUAUUUAGGUUGGCCGGAGCACCAUUAUAGUAGAUUGCAUUUGACAGGUAUUAGUUUGUGUGGAACUUGACCCCUAGGUUCAUACAACUCGACAUUGGUGCAGGAAUCUUAUGCCUUAUACCACACCAUAGUAGCUUUGAAUAUGUCUAGAUAUAGGGGUUUUCUAAGGCUUACUGAGCAGCCUCAACUUGAGCAGAUACUUGUAAGAAGGGUUAUCGUUGACAUUUUAGCUGCAACCAUCAACCAAGUUCUCUUUACGCCAGAUUAUGUUGCUCUAGCACCCAUAGUAGAGUGUGAUUAUAGAUUGAGAGUUGCACGAGAUAGAUGCAUUAUAUCUGAUGUUGAUCACAAGAGAGAGAAAAAGAGUUGAGAUUGUAAGAUAGAUAGACAGCUAUAUUUUACCUUUUGGUUAUGAUACCCCUUAGAUCGAGAGGUAGGGUGUAAUUAAGAAAGCAAAAUGGACCUUUUCUAAGAAGAUUUUGUGGUUGCUUAUUCGAUAUAGAUUAUGUCUAACUACUGUGGACAAUUUAUUAAAUUGGGAUAGAGUUGCACUGACAACCAUCAUGAUGGCUAAAUAUAUUUUUAAAUUUGUAGCUAUUAUUUAGCAUGAGCUUCAUGAGGGAGUUUUUGGCGAGAUAACGACUAUGUCAUUCCUAUGUCUUGUCCAAAAAUUAUAUGAUAGGGUUAGUAUGCCAAGGUACUAGGUGUUGAUGAAAGUGUAAAGGCAAUGAUCGUGGAACAAACUAAGAGAGUGAAGGAUCUAGCAAAUCCAAUCCUUCCUAAGAUAACCUAUGCACCCAUUAUAGUGCCUCCAGUCUAGACUGAGGGCCCAUUAUUCCCUGUGAAGACUAGUGAUACACAAAAAGGUGAUGUGGGAGUUAGUAUGGAGUUCUAUAUAGGGGAGAAGAGAGAGUCCCCUGAGUUGAGUACAUAGGGUGAAGGGGACCCAGCUUUAUCUACAUUAGCCCCAACUUCUACUUCAGAGCUAGUAGGUACAUCUUUAGUGCCCCUUCGCCCAUCCAAUUCAGUUGCUACUUCAGGUCUGAUGUUAGUUUUAUGUGAGUUUUAACAGAUAUUGGUGGACAGUCAGAGUGCACCAACACUCAGCUACAGAAUGUUUAGGCCAAGGUCAUGACUUUAUAUGGAUAAAUUUAGCCAUGCGUCUGGACUACACUAAAGACGGCUAAGGCUAAAUUAGAGUUUGUACACUGGGCUACAAAGCCAUACCUACGGGCUAAGUUGCGUUCAUGGAUAGAUACUUUUAAUGGUUGAGUAUUAACUUAGUUCAGUAGCAUAGAGACACCGGAUCUAGGAUAUGUUAGAGAGAAGGUGGAUGUACUUAGAGUAGAGGUAUAGUCUCUUACUAAGAGCCACAUGUCAACCAUCCCUCUAGUGGUACCCCUAUUUGUUCAGCAUGCACCUCUACCUAGGCCUAAAUACUUUGAUCCCCAUAGCUGGGACCAAGAGACGUCGAGAUGCGAACCUACAAGAUCCCAGUAUUCCAUUUCAUCAGGCCCUAAAAAUACAAACUUUAUUCACAGGAUACUAUAGUGGUUGAUAGGCAGAGGCAAGCUGAGAUAGCAACGGGUGCAUCUUCCAAUAGUGUAUCACCACUUCUGAGAGUUUUUUAUCUACUUCUGUUGUGCCGACAUUAAAGGUUUUUAUUUUUUUUACCUAAAUAUAAUUAAUUGUUGAAAAGUAUAAUCUUUCAUCCUAAAACUCCAUGGAUAUGUUGCAGAAUCUGUAAUACACCCCUUCUCCAUCAGCAUAGUCUCUUAUUGCACUUGUCAAUUGGCUUGGUAGUUUCAUUAAUUCAAAUAAAUCUGGGUUGGUAUGGACUCGAUCCAGAUAUCCAAAUUUAAAUAAUUUAGCUAUGAAGCUAGGACUUCCACCUAGGAUUACUGAAAUUCUUGGAUAUAUACUUUUGGUUCUUAGAACUCCAAAAGUUUCUCAAUUUUUACUUGGUAGACUGUAAAUAUGCUUGGUAAAUGUCAGGUAUUCCUCCUCUUUUGGAUGGAUUUUUUUGACUUGAAAGGAAACAGAUCUUUUUCCUACAGAGGAGUUAGUACUUUUUUUUCAUUUAUCAGAAGUUUUUUCAGUUUUCACUGAUGAUGUUUCUAUAGGGAUUUUUCCCUGUGCUCAACUUUUAGCUAGGUCCAAAGAAUCAGCCAUUAGCAUAUUCGGGCUUAACAUCGAGAUGUUUUUUUGGCACUAGGUGCUAGUGGGACAUCUCCUACCACUUUGUUAGGGACUUUUGAUCCUUAGGUCUGGUAUCCAUAUGUUCACAAAGAAGUUGAAAUUUUGUGAUAUUUUCAUCUUGAUUAGUGUUAAGCUGAUUUAGUUCAUAUUGUAAUUUUCUCACCUUUUCAGACAAGAUUGAUUGUUCAUCACGAAUGUUAAAUAGCAUAUUGCUUUUUUCAGUUAUGGCUUCUUCAAUGCCAUUCAUUCUUUGGAAUAUCCUGUUGACCAACACCUGGGUUCUAUUGUCCAUAUUAGACGUUUCUUGAAAGAAAAUCUGCAAAAAUAUUGUCAGAUCCUUUAACAUUUUCUAUUUUAAAAGAAUAGAAUGAAAACAAUACCUGCCAUCUGUGUAACCUUCUAUAUUGUUGUUCGGAAUGUAAUUUAUUAAAUAUCAAACCUGAUAUUUGUGUGUUCUCUAUUUUUACAACAAAAGGUUUUCGUAAUAAAAAUGUUGAAAACUUUCGAAUCCCUUUUUAUUACCGCUAGUAAUUUUUUUCAUUUGUGGAAUAAUUAACUUCUGCUUCGUUAAAAGUUCCACUGGUAUAUCCGCAGAUUUCAUUUAAAUCUAUUUGUAAUAAUGUUCCCCAAUAAUAGUCAGAGGCAUCUGUUUGUAAGACUAAAUUGUCUUCUACUUCAAGUAAUCUAAGCUUUGGAAGUUUAACACAUUCUUCUUUUAGAUUUUGAACACAAAGAGUAUGUUCAUUGGUCCAUCCUAGCUGAUUUGAUUUCCUAAUUAGUUUUUGCAAAGAAUUUCUUUUCUUUGCAAGAUCUGGGAUGAAUUCACCUGCAUAGUUUAAAUAAUCAAGAAAUUUUUGUAUCUCUUGUUUCGUUGUUAGUUUAUCAGAAAAUUCUGUUAUUUUCUUUAAAAUCUGAGUUUGUAACUCUAUUCCAUUUUUAAAAUAAUCAUUCCAAGAAAUUCUAUUUCAUUUUUUUAUAUCAACCUUUUUUGGUUUAAAACAAUUUCAUUUUUAACAAAAAAUUAUGAAAAUUCUUUGAGAUGUGCUAAAUGUUCUUGGUAGUUUUCUGAGCAUACCAAACUAUCAUCUAUGUAUAUGAUUUAAAAAAUUCUUUUCAGAGAAUAUUUUAUCCAUUUUUCUUUGGAAGAUUUGUGGUGUAUUUUUUAAUCCAAAUGACAUUACAAACCAUUUCCGUUAGGAGUGCUAAAUGUUGUUAGAGGGAUUAAUUCCUUUGAUAGUUUAAUUUGUCAAAAAUCACUUUUACAAUAAAAUUUUGAAAAGUAGCUUUUUCCUUUAGCAAGGUUAGUAAGAUUGUUUUUGUUUGAUAUAAAAUAUCCAUAAAAAACACAAUUUUUAUUUAGAUCUUUAUAGUUUAUUACCAUUCGAGUUUUUCCUCUCUUUUGUUCAGCAUGAUUUCUAACCAUAAUGCUAGAUUACUGUGUGGACUUCUGCUUCCUUUAAUUAAUUUGAGAUUAAGAAGUUCUUGUGUUUGAAUUUUAAAUUCAGUUUUAUCUUCUUCAUUGUAAAGCAUGGGUUUAACUCUUAUAAUGGUACUAGGAUCUUUAAGAAUUAAGACUGUCUUUUCAUGAUUAUUGUCUCAUUUUUCUAAUGGAUCUUCUCCGUAGGAAUGUUGUGAAUUUUGUUUUAUUUUUUUAAGAUUAAGAUAUUUACAUGAAUAAUUUUUUAAGUUGUCCAAAAAUUUUUUAUUAAAAAUUCCUGUUUCUUUUAUCAGAACAUAAGGAUUAUAUUUUUUUGAGAUUUUAAUAAAAUAAUUACACAGAGUUUUGAAACUAACCAUGUAUAUUGUUUGAUGAUAAUCCUGAAACUAUUGGAUAAAAUCAUUUCAAGUAAUAAAUCAGUUUCUAGUUUAUCAUAAGCAUAGACAUGUUUUAUCGAAAUAAAUUUAGAUCCUAAAAUUAUUUUCACAUUCUCUUUAUAAUGUGUGAGAUUUUCCCUGUCACCUGUAAUACCGACAACAGAAGCAUCAACAUUAUUAGUAUUCCAAUCUUUUAUUAAAAAGACUUGACAAAACUGGCUUCAGAACCAUUAUCUAUCUGACCACAUGAUGUCAAUCUUGUUUCCUAGGUAGUAAAUUCUAUGAAUACUAAUACUCUAAAAGAGGUUUCUUUUGGCAUUUAGAUUUUAGGGAUAAAACAAGUUUUUUCUCUUGAGGUUAUUUCAAUUUCUUCUUUUUGAAUAUUAUAUUGAUCCAAACUGUUUAGAAAUGUUCCUUCCAAAAUUAUUUAUAAUCGUUUUCAUGAUUGGUAAUAUAACAAGGAACGAUUAUUCUAAUUGAUUCAAAUUGAAUUGAUAAUUUUACCAUUUUUGGACAGCUGUAGCUGUUUUCUUCAAAUAUUUUAUAAAGGUAGGGGUACCUUCAUAUAAGCUUAAACCAUCGAGGAUACUUUCCUUGACAUGGUUUGCUGAAGAUCCUGACUGAAUUAGGAUGGUUUGUUUAUUCCAGUCGCUUCCAUUAAAGAAUCUUCCUGAAACUUUAGUAAUAUUGUUAGAGUUUUUAUUGGUAAAUCUCAUUGAAUUACCUUUUCAAAUAGAAUUAUUUUCAUAUUCUAUUGAGAGUCUUGGAAUUGAAGUAUUUGAACUUUCUAUUUCUAGGGUUUUUCCAAUCUGAAUUUCAUAUUCACUUGGGUUUUUGCCGGUUGAACUUCUACUUCAACUAUUCUGGCUAUCCCUGCACAUUCUUGAUCAAAUUCGACAAACUUUUAUUUUUACAGAUAUUUUCAUAAUUUGAAUUGGUAACUGUAUAUAAAGCUUGAUAAUAUAUGCUCAUUCAUAAUAUGGUUACCUGAUUUGAAUAAAUCGUCUCUUUUUACCUGAAAAUACAGACUUAAGACUUCAUUAAAGUUAGCAUCUUUCAGUGAUAUACAGUACCUUUGAUAGUAGGUAAAUAAUAAUUUGGUGUAAGCCAAAUUUCCUUCAACAAUACCUAAAUCUCUUUCUCUGGCAUUAAUGAAUCUUUUAUCUGAAAGGUUGAUGACUAUUGGACAGUUAAUUACUUCUUUGAAGGUGCGUGUUAUCAUUAUUUAAAUUCCUCCAAGAUGAAUGUAAUUCAUCUUUUCCUUUUUCUUACUGAAAUAUUAUAUAUAUAUAUAUAUAUAUAAUUUAAGGGAGAAAAACCUAUGUGGUAGUCCUCACAAAAUUUUUAGUGCAAUUAGAUAGCAACACAUGUUUAUUAUUUUUUCCUUCCAUAUUGUUAUAUUUGUCCUCAUUUAUCAUUUCAUGAUAUUUUUAUUUAUAUAUUUAUAAUUGAAUUAUACAUAGUAGUAAUUUUUAAUAAAUCUCUUUCCUUAUGAAUUACUUGUUCUUUUUUUACUUACUUAUAAUAUUAAAAAUUAUUUAUUUUUCUUAUUUAUUUUAGUAAAUCACAAAAGAUUUAUAAUUUUUUUAUAUUAUUAUUAAAAGUCAAAUUUAAUUUUUAAAACAUAAAUAAUAAAGAUAACUUCAUAUGUUUUACUCUCUCAAUAUAUUUGAUUCUUAAGUUAUUUGUCAAGUCAAAAAACAAGUAAAAAGGGAUUGCGAGAAUAUCCCUCUCUCUUUGUUAUUUUGCUUGACUCCUUUUUACUUAUUAUUUUAGCAAAUCAAGAGAGAUUUAUAUUCAGUAGUAAAGUAUUAUUUUAAAAUUAUUUAUCUAUAAUUUAGAUAAGUACUAUGAGAGGUGGGAUAAGGAGUGAUGGAGAUGGAAGCUACUGCUGGGAGUGAAGAUAAGUGUAUUGAAGAAUGAAGGGAUCAAUAAAUGUAACAUGCGGAAUAUAAUUUUUCUAUUUUCACGAAGUCAUUUUCAUAAGUCUAAAAAGAUUUAUUUCUCUAGAGAACCUUUUUUUUUUUUUCAAAAAUCUAACCAAUCAAAUAUGAAAAAAAAAAUUAAAAUAUGUUGAACACAUUCUACGUUGAUUCGUAUUUGUUAAUUCUCUUUCAUACUUCCUUUCUCAUAAAUAAAGUUAUUUAAAAGUUAUCCAAUUAUAUAACGAAAAAAUAUUAAUAAUCAUAUGACUUACCAAACAAGACAAUCAAUUUAUCAAUAAAUUAAAUUAUGUAAUAGAAAAAACGUGAUUUAAUUUAUACUUUUUGUAAAAUUAAAUUUUAAUUCUUAUAUCAUGAAGUUGAGCCCCAGCUUAGCACGGACCUUACUCAACUAUAGUUAUAUUUUGAAAAUUAAAAAUUCAUGAUAUAGUUUGUAUAUAUGGUGCUUAUUUUGUAUAGAUAUGUCAUUUGCCCUAUGUAUUGGUUGGACUCAAAGUUAGUGUGAUUGUGGGACGGAAAUAUUCCUGAAAUGUUGAACUACUUUUAUACCCCUAAAACACAAGUCAUAUUUUCUCAUGCACUCCAACAUUGGGUAAAAUCGUCAUAUUUAGGACUUCUACUCCAUAUUUAAUACUUUGAUCAACCAAAUUUUAAUUGAUUCCAUGCUGGGUAAGGAAUUGUUAGACUUAUUAGAGAGUUAAGUUUGAAUAGGAAUUGUUACUUACAUAAUUAAUACUACUUCCUAAUUUUGGGUCUCAAUCUAAUUAAUUAGGAAAAAAUAAAAUCCAAAGGUAAUAACUAAUGCAUAGAUGUAUCCUAUUUUGAUAAGGAAAUAUGAAAAUAUGGAGUUAUUUUAGCAACACAAUAAUGUAAUACUUUGAUAUCAUUUUUUUGAAAUCACCAGAAGUAUAGUGAAAAGAUAUAAGUUUUUUGCCAAUUUGUUACAAAACGACAUAAGGUUAAAAAGGAUUUGGGAAAAUGACUAGGUGAGGAUUGCAUGAAAACACUUUUGUCGAGAUAGAUUUCUGCAACAAAAGACCAAGAAUUGACUUCUUCCUGUUGGAGAAAUUAAUUAUAGAAAUAAUGUUAGGUUAAAAAGUUGACGUUGGACAAAAAGUUCAACAUCUUAAAUAUUCAAAUUUGUAUUCAGAUUUAGAUGUCUGAAGUUUUACAAAAAUAAAUACAGCCUAAUAUUUGAAAAGUUAAAUUAUAUUUAAAAAAAAUAAAAUAAUUUCAAACAUAUUUAACUAUAUAUACAAAAAAUAUUUUUUUAUUUAAUAAUUAAGCAUGUACUAAGUUAGAAAGGAAAUGUCAAGAUAUUUUAAUUAUUUGUCCAUGAUAAAUUUAUCAAUAAAUCCUUGGAUCAAUUUUGAAUUUGAUUGUAUAAAUAGUUAAGUCCAUAUAAUUGUUCAAAUUUACCAAAAUGAGUAAAAAUUUGUAGAGUAAUUAAAAUUUAAAUUAGGAAUAAAAUUGUCAAAAAAAAAUUAAUGUAAGGACUAUCAAAAUCUCGCGUUCUCUUAUAUAUAGUAGUAANNNNNNNNNNNNNNNNNNNNNNNNUAUAUAUAUAUAGUGAUAAUUGAAGAAUUUGAAGGGUAAUUUUGUCAUUUUAUGACUUUAUCCCAAGUUAAAAUAUUGUGGGAUUAUUUAUACCACCCCUUACUUAUUUCGAUAUUAUUUGUUAAUUUUGGAAUAAGUUAACCCAAAUUUGACAAUCAAACAUAGCAUCAAAAAAAUUAUUUCGAGACUAUAUGUUUUAAUGCCUCACACCAAACGACUCCUUAAUAUCUUCUUUGGAAAAAAAUAUAUAGUAAGCUUAAAAUAACUUCUUCAUGUCCGCUCUAUCUUCAAAAAGCGGAAACAAUUAUCAAUCAAUAAUUCAAAAUAUUUAGCUGCUUCUGUGGUGUAUUGUUAUCGUCCUCAAAAGCUCAAUUAAAAAAAUCAGAUGCAACCAACAAUCACUAAGCGUGAUCCUUGAAGAGUUAACUAAGUGCAUUUUGUUAUAUUCAAAAUAUACAUCUCGUAGAAGAGAGCAAUACAAGGCAAUAUCUUGACGAUAGAGAUUACUAAGAAAUAAUUUGAUUGCAGCAUAAUUAGGAUCUACUUGCUCAUAAAAAAAGAAAGUUAAAAGUUAUCAUUUUAAAAUUGUCUGAUGGCACAAAUAAUUUAGUAACAUGUAUAUUUCAUAGUGUACCAAUGACUUAUUUAUAAUUUUGUACUUAAUAAUAUAAUCUAUAAAUAAUUAUUUCUUUUUUAUAUACGUUGUUAUUAAUUAUUUGGAGGGAGAGGAAUUUGAGACUAUUUGAAAAAAAGUGUCGAGCCUGGUUGAUUGUUGCGAAGGAGAUUAUAUAUGCGUCAUGUAUCCGAGCACCAUCCAAAAUCAGUGAAGGAGUCUAUAGCUUUAAUUUUUAAGUUUUGGCUUGUUUGCUCGGGUAGUUUAUAGAGGAGGGCACGUUGUGUAUAACCAGGUCACUAGUUUGUAAUGCUCAUUUUUGGUGAUUAAUAAAAUGUGAGAAAAUAGUCUAAGCCUCCCCAACCUAUACUUAAAAUCUCAAUUACACACUUUAUUUUUACGAGAGUCCUAUAACUCCUAAACUAUUUUAAAAUGAAAUUAUUAUCCCCUUAAAAACUCACGCCCACAUGUGUAUUAGAAAGUGAUUAUCAUGCAUGUGCCAUGUAAUGCCACGUAAUAUUACCACUUAAUAUUCUAUUUUUAUUAUAAAAAAUUAAUUAUUUUUCUUUUUCCUUUAAUAUUUUCCUUUUCUCUUUCCUUUUCCAUUCCCCCUCUUUUCUCUUUCCCAUCUUCAUGGGAGUCCUAUGACCCCCCUAAACUUCAUUUUUGCGACGAUCGGAGUGGCACUAAGAUGGUGAAGAAAAUGGCCGCAAAUAAAUAUUACGUGAAUUUCAAGCCGUAGGAUCCUAAUCGGAUCUAAAUCAAUCAAAGAAGAAUCUACAAUAAUCUUUCUUCUUAAUUUGAAAUUGAGAAUGAAAAGACUAUAUAUACACUUGUUAAUUUUAUUUUAGAUUUACUUAAUUUUAUAUUUGAAUUGAGGAGUUGAAAGGUUGGAAGAAGUGCCGGAGAUCGAAUGCAUUGUUGUUGUUGAUUUUACAACGAAGAAAACUCUUUCAUUCACCAAUCAAACACUAUAAAAUGUAUGUUUUGAAAAAUAUUUUUUCAUUCACCAAUCAAAUACUAUAAAAUAUUUUUCAAAAAAUAUUUUCUAUCCACCAAUCAAACAUAGAAAAACAAAUAAAAAAUCAACUUAUUUUUUAGGAAAAUAUUUUUCAUGAAAAACAUUUUCCUCCGUACCAAACAGGGAAAAAAAAACAUUUACCAGAAAUUAGAUUUUCACUGUUUUACCAUUCUGUCAAAAGACAAGAUUGCAUUUUUUUAACUAUAUACAAUUUACAGAAAAAGGUACCCCUAGAAACCAAUAAUAAAACUUAAGAUGACAUUUACAACCUUUUUUCCUCUCUUCAGGAGUAUGUUUUUUUUCCUCUCUUCAAGCAGAAAAGACACCAUUAAUAGCUGCUUUUCCCACCUCACUCUCACGCUCAAAAACUCCUCUUUUCAUCUCAUUAAUAUUGGUUUCACCAAGACUCAUCUUGAUUUUUGAAGAAUACUCAUUAAAUUUCUGAGCUAAAAUUGACGAGAAAUAAGAAAAGAAUUGAAUUUCUUCUUCAGCACCAAAUUUUCUUGACCCUCCUUUAAUACUCUUCUGCAACCAACAUAGCAAUAUCAGACAUGGUAUUAAUUGUAACACUCAAAUGCAAGAUUCUUUAUUUUAUUUUUUUUUGAAAUUUGGCAAGUGUUUCUUUUUUGGACAGAUUUUAAUUUUGAUCGGUAAUAAAUUGUUGGAUUUUUUGGACUAUAUAUAGUAUGGAAAAAUAGGGGAAGACCAAAACAGUGAGAGAUUAGGAACACAGGAAAAUGGAUAAGGUUGCCAGAUGAAUACAAUGUGUAAGGACCAUUACUUUAAAGUGGUUUUUGGACAAAACUGUUUUUGGUUUUUAUAUUCCAGUGGUUUCUUCUCUUAUGAUUGAUAUUCUUAUUGAGAUUGAAUUACAUUUAAAUUUAUAAAAAAAGUUUAUAUGAGAUAAAAUACUUUGUAAUAACGGUAACUCUAUAUUUAUUCGAUUAAAAUGUAAGACUUUUAAUUAAAAAUAAAAAAAUACUCAUCAUUUU